rnacentral:tRNA from 1 species
GCUGCCAAGACGGCGCAGACACGCCUGCGGACA